UACAGAGGGUGCUAGCGUUGUUCGGAAUUACUGGGCGUAAAGUGUGCGCAGGCGGCAGAGCAAGUCGAGUGUGAAAGCCCCGGGCUUAACUUGGGAAUUGCGCUCGAAACUACUUUGCUGGAGUGUGGCAGAGGAAGGUGGAAUUCCACGUGUAGCGGUGAAAUGCGUAGAGAUGUGGAGGAACACCAAUGGCGAAGGCAGCCUUCUGGGCCAACACUGACGCUCAUGCACGAAAGCGUGGGGAGCAAACAGG
rnacentral:rRNA from 1 species